rnacentral:rRNA from 1 species
GGGGAACUGAAACAUCUAAGUACCCCGAGGAAAAGAAAUCAACCGAGAUUCCCCCAGUAGCGGCGAGCGAACGGGGAGGAGCCCAGAGCCUGAAUCAGUGUGUGUGUUAGUGGAAGCGUCUGGAAAGGCGCGCGAUACAGGGUGACAGCCCCGUACACAAAAAUACACAUAUUGUGAGCUCGAUGAGUAGGGCGGGACACGUGGUAUCCUGUCUGAAUAUGGGGGGACCAUCCUCCAAGGCUAAAUACUCCUGACUGACCGAUAGUGAACCAGUACCGUGAGGGAAAGGCGAAAAGAACCCCGGCGAGGGGAGUGAAAAAGAACCUGAAACCGUGUACGUACAAGCAGUGGGAGCACGCUUAGGCGUGUGACUGCGUACCUUUUGUAUAAUGGGUCAGCGACUUAUAUUCUGUAGCAAGGUUAACCGAAUAGGGGAGCCGAAGGGAAACCGAGUCUUAACUGGGCGUUAAGUUGCAGGGUAUAGACCCGAAACCCGGUGAUCUAGCCAUGGGCAGGUUGAAGGUUGGGUAACACUAACUGGAGGACCGAACCGACUAAUGUUGAAAAAUUAGCGGAUGACUUGUGGCUGGGGGUGAAAGGCCAAUCAAACCGGGAGAUAGCUGGUUCUCCCCGAAAGCUAUUUAGGUAGCGCCUCGUGAAUUCAUCUCCGGGGGUAGAGCACUGUUUCGGCA